UCUUAUGGAAUUUUAAUACUAGAGCUUCACAGAUUCCUCUAGGAUUGCAAUUUCGGGGGGUGAAUUUUGGUGGGACAGUGAUUAUCUCAUACAAAGACCAGAAUUAAUGGAUAGGAGUUCUAGGGCUCCAAUUAUACAAAGUUGCAAUAUGGGAAAACCCUUAAAUGAGGAUCUUGAAGUGAAACCAGGAACAGGCCAUUGUGCAUAUACAGCAACACAGGGGGCGCUGGGGGAUGGAUGUCCAAUUGCGCUGAGUAAGAUGAAGAAGGGGUCCAAGGUUACACAGUAGAAGCACUUUGUUAGGAUCAUUGCUCACAAAAUUUGCAGUGUCUCAUGGUUCCUAAAUCCCACAGGCAAAUCUAAUGCUGGAACAAGAGAACCAUCUGCUGAAUCUGCCCAUUCCAUGAACAGAUAGAACCCCUGUAGCUGCUGAACACCAAAAGCACAGGGAGACUUUUUAUCCAAAUAAAGAUUGAAGAUGGUGGCACCGUGAUUUUAUUCUACAGGCUUCCACUGCUUCCCUCAAUCCUACCAUUUUAUUGUGGACAGAAUAUAGGAGUUACUGGGACAAUUUAUUAUUCUCCGCCAUUCCUAGGCUGCAAAUGCCGAAGAUGACAGUCACAGAAGAUGAAAAAUCCAUAAAAGGUGUGGGAUAAAGCUGUUCCAAAUCGAGUUUCAUCAAUUCCUCCAUUUCAUCACUGUCUUACAGUUUCUGGAUACUCUUUAGGAAACCCACAGCUUUGCACAGUAUGGAUCCAUGAAAAACCUCCAGUGGCUCUCACAAGGUAAAAGGGAAAGCG